AGGGAGACAAUACAGCUCGCCGUCCCUGUAUAAUAGCAGAAUACGUAAAAUACAGAAAGCUUCCAUUACCCACAGUAAGCCCUGCUUUUCCCCGCCUUCCGUGUUUUCCUGCUCACGUGGCCUGGCGCAGCCAGGGGUUUAUUUCUAUGGCCUGUCACACUGCCAUUGUGAAGCAGCGUAUAAAUAGAAUUACGGAGUGUGGAGAUUUCGCUGUCUGCCUUCAUCCCCUCGCUGUGGUGCUUUUGAGCGUCUCCUUUGUUGGCGCAGGUGAAUUUAGUCUUGAAGCAAGAGGAAACACCUGCGGGUGACCUGGCUGGGCGGAAGCUUGACCAACUGAUAUACGCAAGGAAUCAUGGGAAAACGCCAAUCAGCCCUAUAUUUGUUUCUCAACUAGAGCGGAUCAAGCAGCCACAGGAGUGUCUGGUUGAAGCCACAGUGAGGAUGGUGCAGGGCCCUGUUCUGUAGUCCAGGCAUGCUUGACACUCAACAUGAAGCCCCAACGGCCUCAAGCAUGGAACGACCCUCUUCCUUCAGCCUCCCAAGUAACGGUGAGCCACCAAGUCGAGUUCUAAGUUCUUUCUUCUUUUAAGAAAUGGUGGCACGAUGAGCUCUGAAGAAAGAACAAGCUACAAACUCAUGGGGACGGCCCUGCCAGGACGUCCUGGAGCUGCCUCUCCAGUGCCUGGAGCAGCCCAGCACUCGAGGCACCAGGGAGCUGGGAGCUUGGGCCGAAGGGGCAGCAGACGCUGCAGAACGCACUGGGCUCUGGUCAGCAUGCAGGCCCGGAUCGACAUUCCAAGAUUUCCUCCCACUCUGUCUUCACAAGUGGGUCCUCCAUGGUCGAAACACCACAGCGUUUGAAGUUGAAGAACAAGCAAACGAAAGGUUUGAUGUCUGACGUUCAGAGUGAACAAAGUGUACCAGGGGAGGCAAGAUGUCCCUUCGGACACUGAAGAACUGCUACACCCCCAUGCAGAGAUGGGCCACGUGUAAGACUCCUGACUAGCCCGAGUGGCGAUCGUUUGGUGUCAGUUCUCGGCUGGCUAUCACUGUUAUUUUGGUGGUCAGCUGGAUGCAGACUCUCUUAUUUGAGGAAAAAGAUUAAAACAAAACACUGGGGAAUCAAUAGUCUGAAUGAGCAACAGAUUUCUAACUGACCAACCAAUCUGAAGCAUCUUCAACGGAAGUAUGGCUGGUCACAAUACAGAACUUCGGGCCAACUCAACUCUGCAGACAGCUGGGGCAAGAAAGACAGGACAGUCCCCACAGACUACGCUGUGAUGGAUCAAGUCACAGCUGGAGGCACAUGUGGUCUUUUUCCAAGAGGAAGGGACCACUGUUGGCCAGCCCUUUUACAGUCCCGUCAGAUUCAUGCAGAACCGUAAGGUGGAACCAAACGACACAUACUGCCAUUCCGUAAAAUGCGAGGAGGGGGAGAAGGUUAGCGGCCAUCCAUCUAUCAGUGGGUCCUAGGAUUCUGGUGCCUCUCGGUGCCUUUGUUGGGUGGUUGGGGCUCAGACUCCCAAACUGUGGAUCACGACCUGUAACUCAAUGUGCUGACUGUGGAGUUGUGCUGACUGUAAAAGGUUUUUAAACAUGGGGCAACAACAACAACAACAAUAACAACAACAGAUUAAUUCAGAGUCAGAUAGGCAGCAGAUCUGGUGUUCUGUUAGGAUGAUUGAUUUUAAAAAUUGCUGUUUGCUUAGGCUGGAGAGAUGGCUCAGUGGUUAGGAGCACUUGCUGCUCCUCCAGAGGACCCAGGUUCUAUUCUUACCACCCCUAGAGUGGCUAAGAACUGCAACUCUAAUUUCAGGAGACCAGGCAUUCUCCUCUUCUGGCUUUCUUGAGCACUGCACAAACAUGGUGUACACACACACACACACACACACACACACACACACACACGAAAUAAGAAAAAAAUCUGCUGUUUAAGCCUCCUGUGGUGGCUCAUGCCCUUAAACCUAGUCCUGUGAAGGCAGAGGCAGGGGGAUCUCCAUGACUUUAAUGCUAGCCUGGCAGACAUAUUGAGUUCCAAGUCAACCUGGGUUACAUGGUGAAACCCUGUCUCAAACAACCAAAGAUUUGUGGGGCUAGAGAAAUAGAUCAGAGUCGAGAGUGUGUACUGCUCUUGCAGAGGACCCUGAUUCAGUUCUCACAGCACCCGCACAGAGCGACUCACAUCUGUCUGAAACUCUAUCCACAGGAAGACCUCUGGGCACCACUUGGUUGUGCACCCCCAUGCAGGCCUACACCCACAGAGUUAGCAAAAAGUAAAUCUUUAAGAUUUUCCUCUUGAUGACCAGGAAUUUAUAAAAAAAAAAUACACAAUGAAUGUUGGUCUGGGAUUAGAACAAACCUUCUAACCAUCUCUGAAAUGGUUCUAAACUUAUUUUUGCCAUUUUGUACUCUACAUUUAUGCAAAGAAAUUCCCUUGGCACUGCUGAUUCUAAAAAUCAAAAUAUGUAUCAACUCUGAAACUUCAGACACUAAAGGCACUCUGCAUCCUGCUGAUCAAACAUUCAGUCAGGGGUUAAUGCUUUACAUAAAAACACAGAAGCACCCGCUUCUCAUCGGUGUGCAAACUUGCCUUCAUCAUUAAUAAAUGGUAACGUGUAAGGGAAAGCUAUUUUAAGAUAAAAUUCUUUAUGACUCAC